UCCCAGGUGGCUCAGCAGUAAAGAAUCUGCCUGCAAUGCAGGAGACCGGGGUUCGAUCCCUGAGUUGGGAA
rnacentral:tRNA from 1 species